rnacentral:rRNA from 1 species
GAUGAACGCUGGCGGCGUGCCUAAUACAUGCAAGUCGAGCGAACAGACGAGGAGCUUGCUCCUCUGACGUUAGCGGCGGACGGGUGAGUAACACGUGGAUAACCUACCUAUAAGACUGGGAUAACUUCGGGAAACCGGAGCUAAUACCGGAUAAUAUAUUGAACCGCAUGGUUCAAUAGUGAAAGACGGUUUUGCUGUCACUUAUAGAUGGAUCCGCGCCGCAUAGCUAGUUGGUAAGGUAACGGCUUACCAAGGCAACGAUGCGUAGCCGACCUGAGAGGGUGAUCGGCCACACUGGAACUGAGACACGGUCCAGACUCCUACGGGAGGCAGCAGUAGGGAAUCUUCCGCAAUGGGCGAAAGCCUGACGGAGCAACGCCGCGUGAGUGAUGAAGGUCUUCGGAUCGUAAAACUCUGUUAUUAGGGAAGAACAAAUGUGUAAGUAACUAUGCACGUCUUGACGGUACCUAAUCAGAAAGCCACGGCUAACUACGUG